CGCUCGUCGCUACUACCGAUUGAAUUAUUUAAUGACGUCUACGGGUUUGAUCCCUGUGACGCAUUUUAUGUUUUGUAAAUGUUUUGAAAAACUUGACCGAACUUGAUUGUUUAGAGGAAGUAUAAGUCAUAAGAA
rnacentral:rRNA from 1 species